ACCCGCCACGCCUCGCCGCCAGCUGCGCUCCAUCGCCGUUCCGUCAACGCUGCAUCCCGUCGCGUCCGUCGUCGCCAUUUCCAAGCGUCGUCGUCAAAUCGCCAAGGGAGAGAGAGAGACGCGAUGAAGGUGAGAAAGAGGAGCUAGCGUCGCUGUCGAACUGUUACGGAGCCACCGGAGCCGUCGCGUCGCCGUUGUGUCUUGCCUCUAUCGUCGCCGUGAAUCGCGAACAGAGGAGACCGAGAGACCAAGAGGGAAGAGGCGAUGAACGAAGCCGUCACUGAAGCCUUGCCCGUCGCUGCCAGAGGCGUGGAGGAAGGGAGGCAGAACCGCGAGAUAGAGGAGCCACUGUGACUGUCGUUGCUGCCGCGGGUGUGGUCUGCCGUCGAGCUGCACGCCGCCACUGCCGUCGGAAACCGCCGUUAGAAUCGCUACUGUUUUGUGGUUGUCGUAAGUUACGUUGCCGCUGCCGUUACUGGAGGUAGUUGCUGGUUCUGUUUGAAGAUUGCUGCUACUACUGGAAUCCCCCCAAAUCGGAGAGGAGAGGAGGCGUUUAACCUCGUCGCUGUUGCUGCCAUGGAACAGGUGCUGGAAACUACUAACGGAGCAGGCUGAGUCACAGUGAUUCUGGCUGCCAAGGACGGUUCUGUGGCUGUCGGAACCACCGCUGAAGGUUCUGUCCUUUGGUUCAGUCAGUAUUCUUUGGUUACAGAUUAAGUUAUUGGGGCCACAUGUUGCGAGUAAGGGUUGUUUCUGCUACUGCAAAAGUGAGCGAAGCUGUGAUUCCAGCUACCGGUAAUUUCGGGUUGAGAGAGAAGGUUCCUGUGACGCGUUUGGUUUAUGUGUUCGACGAGUCGAGGAUAUGGGCGUUGAAGUCACCAAGAGUUUACCUAGUUGUUGUCGUGAUGUUUUGUGUUGCCUUAGUUAUUAUCUAUUAUUACCUUGCCUUUAUCUUUAUACAUUCUGUAAGAGGGAUAGGAAUUAUAUUAGUUAAUGCUUGCAAAACUA